AGGCGCGAAACCUUUACACUGUACGCAAGUACGAUAGGGGGACACCGAGUGCGAGGGCAUAGAGCCCUCGCUUUUGUACACCGUAAGGGGGUUGCACGAAUAAGGGCUGGGCAAGACCGGUGCCAGCCGCCGCGGUAACACCGGCAGCCCAAGUGAUGGCCGCUAUUAUUGGGCCUAAAGCGUCCGUAGCCGGCCGUUCAGGUCCGUCGGGAAAUCCACUGGCUUAACCAGUGGGCGUCCGGCGGAAACCGUUCGGCUUGGGACAGGGAGACCAGAGGGGUACGUCCGGGGUAGGAGUGAAAUCCCGUAAUCCUGGACGGACCAUCGGUGGCGAAAGCGCCUCUGGAGAACUGAUCCGACGGUGAGGGACGAAAGCUGGGGUCUCGAACCGGAUUAGAUACCCGGGUAGUCCCAGCCGUAAACGAUGCUCGCUAGGUGUGUCGCAGGCUACGAGCUGCAUGUGCCGUAGGGAAGCCGAGAAGCGAGCCGCCUGGAAGUACGUCCGCAAGGAUGAAACUUAAAGGAAUUGGCGGGGGAGCACUACAACCGGAGGAGCCUGCGGUUUAAUUGGACUCAACGCCGGACAUCUCACCAGCUCCGACAGCAGUAAUGACGAUCAGGUUGAUGACCUUAUUCGACGCUGCUGAGAGGAGGUGCAUGGCCGCCGUCAGCUCGUACCGUGAGGCGUCCUGUUAAGUCAGGCAACGAGCGAGACCCGCACCUCUAGUUGCCAGCAGCAUCUCGCGAUGGCUGGGUACACUAGGGGGACUGCCGCUGCCAAAGCGGAGGAAGGAACGGGCAACGGUAGGUCAGUAUGCCCCGAAUGAGCUGGGCUACACGCGGGCUACAAUGGCCGGGACAAUGGGACGCUACCCCGAGAGGGGGCGCUAAUCUCCUAAACCCGGUCGUAGUUCGGAUUGUGGGCUGAAACUCGCCCACAUGAAGCUGGAUUCGGUAGUAGUCGCGUGUCAGUAGCGCGCGGCGAAUACGUCCCU
rnacentral:rRNA from 1 species